AGCUUUGCACAGUGGCAGUAUCAUAGCCAGUCCAGUUUAUCUGAGGCACAAUUAUUGCUAAUUGAAAUCU
rnacentral:snRNA from 1 species